rnacentral:lncRNA from 1 species
GACCGUUUUCGCGCUUUUUUUUAAUUUUGAACAAUCGGUUAUUAGGGAGACCGUCAAAACUGGUUUACAGAAUUUUUGCAAGGAAGAGAGUGUCAGUUUAUUACUAUCGAUGGCGUUGAGUGACAUUCUGCGUUAACUUACGGGAACGAUUAAAAAAGUGCACACAGAUAUGCACUAGACCGGUCGGACUAUCGGCAGCGUACGUUAACUAGUC